rnacentral:rRNA from 1 species
UACGUAGGGUCCGAGCGUUGUCCGGAAUCAUUGGGCGUAAAGAGCGUGUAGGCGGCCCGGUAAGUCCGCUGUGAAAGUCCAGGGCUCAACCCUGGGAUGCCGGUGGAUACUGUCGGGCUCGAGUCCGGAAGAGGAGUGUGGAAUUCCUGGUGUAGCGGUGAAAUGCGCAGAUAUCAGGAGGAACACCGGUGGCGAAGGCGGGUCUCUGGGCCGAUACUGACGCUGAGGAGCGAAAGCGUGGGGAGCGAACAGG